UCCCUGCUGGCUCAGAUGGUAAGGCAUCUGCCUGCAAUGUGGGAGACUUGGGUUCGAUCCCUGGGUUGGGAA
rnacentral:tRNA from 1 species